GGGGGUGUAGCUCAGAUGGUAGAGCGACUGAAUGGCAUUCAGUAGGUAGUCGGUUCGAUCCCGAUCACCUCCA
rnacentral:tRNA from 1 species